rnacentral:rRNA from 1 species
GACGAACGCUGGCGGCGUGCUUAACACAUGCAAGUCGAACGGAAAGGCCCUGCUUUUGUGGGGUGCUCGAGUGGCGAACGGGUGAGUAACACGUGAGUAACCUGCCCUUGACUUUGGGAUAACUUCAGGAAACUGGGGCUAAUACCGGAUAGGAGCUCCUGCUGCAUGGUGGGGGUUGGAAAGUUUCGGCGGUUGGGGAUGGACUCGCGGCUUAUCAGCUUGUUGGUGGGGUAGUGGCUUACCAAGGCUUUGACGGGUAGCCGGCCUGAGAGGGUGACCGGCCACAUUGGGACUGAGGUACGGCCCAGACGCCUACGUGAGGCAGCAGUGGGGAAUAUUGCACAGUGAGCGGAAGCCUGAUGCAGCAACGCCGCGUGCGGGAUGACGGCCUUCGGGUUGUAAACCGCUUUCGCCUGUGACGAAGCGUGAGUGACGGUAAUGGGUAAAGAAGCACCGGCUAACUACGUG